rnacentral:rRNA from 1 species
CUCAUGAAGCUGGAAUCGCUAGUAAUCGCGGAUCAGAAUGCCGCGGUGAAUACGUUCCCGGGUCUUGUACACACCGCCCGUCACACCAUGGGAGUCGGAAAUGCCCGAAGUCUGUGACCCAACCUUAGGGAGGGAGCAGCCGAAGGCAGGUCGGAUGACUGGGGUGAAGUCGUAACAAGGUACC